rnacentral:rRNA from 1 species
CGGGACGGGUGAGUAAUGCUGGGAAACUGCCUGAUGAGGGGGGAUAACUACUGGAAACGGUAGCUAAUACCGCAUAACGUCGCAAGACCAAAGAGGGGGACCUUCGGGCCUCUUGCCAUCGGAUGUGCCCAGAUGGGAUUAGCUAGUAGGUGGGGUAACGGCUCACCUAGGCGACGAUCCCUAGCUGGUCUGAGAGGAUGACCAGCCACACUGGAACUGAGACACGGUCCAG